AGUAAAAGUCUCUCCCUGUGGGGUCAUCUAACAGGAUUGGACAAAGCUCUGGAGAGCAAUCCUGCACUCAGUAGUAGUAGUAGUAAGUAUUAGGUUCUAUCUUCCACAUCCAGCUCCUACAUCAGCUUGGGAACAUAAGUUUCAGGCUCUUGUCUCUUCCCAUCUGCACCCCAGCCAGGCCAUUCCAGGGGAUCACUGUCCUGAGUAGGGUAGCACUGAAUUCUGAUCCAGAAAGGGGCACCCUGCGGCUGAAGUGCUGAGUGAAACACAAAAUCAAUGCCAUUCUUGUCUUGUACGAGAUCAGUUAUUAAAAUCAGACUGUAGAUGACCAGUUCCUGUGCACAUAAAAUCACCUACAGUGUACACAAACACAUAUAUAUACACCCCCCCAUAAGAUCACAUGUUUUUACAUGCUUUCUUUUAAUUUAUUUUGGUAAUAUCUUAUAGCUGGUAAUGCUGGUUGUUGUUGAUUACAUCCCUUGGCGUUGGUCUAUAGAUGACCAGUUGUUGACCUUGUGAGUACAAAAACCUCUUGUACUAUAAUUACCUAGUCUCCAUGGCACUUAAAUUGCACUCGGAUAUUCUGUGAGGAGAUAUUUUGUAGAGAGGUUCAGAACUUAUUUACCAGUGAGCAGUUUUUGCCUGAGGACCAUGAUUUCAAGUCAUCUUUUUAUACGCAAAAUUGGUUUUCUUUUAACAUUUACAGAAACUCACUAUCACAUUUGCUUUUCAUUGCUUUGUAAUGCUCUUAGACAUUUAACAUCUCAAAAUGAAUAGCACCAUAUUUUUUUAGGAAAAAAGUAAACGGGUAGCCAGAUUCUUAGCUGUUAUAAAUAGAUGCAAGUCCAGUGAACUCAAUAUAGGUAUGCUGAUUUAUUUUUUUUUUUUAGCGGUGGCUGAUCAACCUGAGAUUUUUCCCACUGUUACCACUCCCUACUACCCUGCAACCAAAAGUGAGAUGCAAUUAAUUGUAUUGUACCUUCGUAGUUAAAAAAAAAAAAAAAAAAAAAA